rnacentral:rRNA from 1 species
CGGCCGCGUCGACAACGGGUGAGUAACGCGUAGGUAACCUGCCUUGUAGCGGGGGAUAACUAUUGGAAACGAUAGCUAAUACCGCAUAACAAUGGAUGACACAUGUCAUUUAUUUGAAAGGGGCAAUUGCUCCACUACAAGAUGGACCUGCGUUGUAUUAGCUAGUAGGUGAGGUAACGGCUCACCUAGGCGACGAUACAUAGCCGACCUGAGAGGGUGAUCGGCCACACUGGGACUGAGACACGGCCCAGACUCCUACGGGAGGCAGCAGUAGGGAAUCUUCGGCAAUGGGGGCAACCCUGACCGAGCAACGCCGCGUGAGUGAAGAAGGUUUUCGGAUCGUAAAGCUCUGUUGUAAGUCAAGAACGAGUGUGAGAGUGGAAAGUUCACACUGUGACGGUAGCUUACCAGAAAGGGACGGCUAACUACGUGCCAGCAGCCGCGGUAAAUCGUAGGUCCCGAGCGUUGUCCGGAUUUAUUGGGCGUAAAGCGAGCGCAGGCGGUUUGAUAAGU